AGAACGAGCGCUGGCGGCAUGCCUAAUACAUGCAAGUCGAACGAACUCUUCGGAGUUAGUGGCGCACGGGUGCGUAACGCGUGGGAAUCUGCCCCUUGGUUCGGAAUAACAGUUGGAAACGACUGCUAAUACCGGAUGAUGACGAAAGUCCAAAGAUUUAUCGCCAAGGGAUGAGCCCGCGUAGGAUUAGCUAGUUGGUGAGGUAAAGGCUCACCAAGGCAACGAUCCUUAGCUGGUCUGAGAGGAUGAUCAGCCACACUGGGACUGAGACACGGCCCAGACUCCUACGGGAGCAGCAGUAGGGAUAUUGGACAAGUGG
rnacentral:rRNA from 1 species